rnacentral:rRNA from 1 species
AUUGAACGCUGGCGGCAGGCCUAACACAUGCAAGUCGAGCGGAUGAAGGGAGCUUGCUCCUGGAUUCAGCGGCGGACGGGUGAGUAAUGCCUAGGAAUCUGCCUGGUAGUGGGGGAUAACGUCCGGAAACGGGCGCUAAUACCGCAUACGUCCUGAUGGAGAAAGUGGGGGAUCUUCGGACCUCACGCUAUCAGAUGAGCCUAGGUCGGAUUAGCUAGUUGGUGGGGUAAAGGCCUACCAAGGCGACGAUCCGUAACUGGUCUGAGAGGAUGAUCAGUCACACUGGAACUGAGACACGGUCCAGACUCCUACGGGAGGCAGCAGUGGGGAAUAUUGGACAAUGGGCGAAAGCCUGAUCCAGCCAUGCCGCGUGUGUGAAGAAGGUCUUCGGAUUGUAAAGCACUUUAAGUUGGGAGGAAGGGCAGUAAGUUAAUACCUUGCUGUUUUGACGGUACCAAAAGAAUAAGCACCGGCUAACUUCGUG